rnacentral:misc_RNA from 1 species
GAAAUGCGAUAAGUAGUGUGAAUUGCAGAAUUCAGUGAAUCAUCGAAUCUUUGAACGCAACUUGCACUCUAUGGUUUUCCGUAGAGUACGCUUGCUUCAGUAUCAUAAAGACCCCAUCCUGAUUAUUAUUUUUUUAUUAAAAUAAUUAAUUUUGGAGAUAAUAAAAAUGAGGCUCUUUCUUUUCUUUUUCUUUUUUUUAAAAAAAAAGGUGGGAAAAGGUCUUGUAAGAUUGGGCAAAGUCUUGGUUAUUUACUUAGCCUUGACUCGCCUAAAAAAUUUAAAAAAAAAAUGGUUAUUACAACUUUUUUUUUUCUCUUUUUGUAUAGUUAAUACUCUAUUAAAUUUAUUUACUUGGUAUUAUAACAAUUAUGCAAGAAGGGGGACAAAGAAUAAUGAAAGAGAGUUUUUAAAUAAAUUCUUUUUUCUUUUUUCAAUCAAUGAUCUGAAGUCAAGUGGGAUUACCCGCUGAACUUAAGC